ACAAUCAGCCAUAUCACCCUGCAGCUCUCAAGUGCCGACCCACUGAAGCUAAGCAGGGUUGACCCUGGUUGGUAACUGGAUGGGAGACCUCCUGGGAAGUUAUGGUUGCUGGUGGAA
rnacentral:rRNA from 1 species